rfam:Rattus norvegicus chromosome 2, whole genome shotgun sequence.
ACAAAGGCUCUUUUCAGAGCCACUACACCUUCCCGGAAAGAGCUGU